rnacentral:rRNA from 1 species
CCUACGGGCGGCUGCAGUGGGGAAUAUUGCACAAUGGGCGAAAGCCUGAUGCAGCAACGCCGCGUGAGCGAUGAAGGCCUUCGGGUCGUAAAGCUCUGUCCUCAAGGAAGAUAAUGACGGUACUUGAGGAGGAAGCCCCGGCUAACUACGUGCCAGCAGCCGCGGUAAUACGUAGGGGGCUAGCGUUAUCCGGAAUUACUGGGCGUAAAGGGUGCGUAGGUGGUUUCUUAAGUCAGAGGUGAAAGGCUACGGCUCAACCGUAGUAAGCCUUUGAAACUGGGAAACUUGAGUGCAGGAGAGGAGAGUGGAAUUCCUAGUGUAGCGGUGAAAUGCGUAGAUAUUAGGAGGAACACCAGUUGCGAAGGCGGCUCUCUGGACUGUAACUGACACUGAGGCACGAAAGCGUGGGGAGCAAACAGGAUUAGAUACCCCUGUAGUC